UUUUUAUUUUCCAAAUCUCAACUGCAGAAAGGGGAAGUUAUAUGCUGUAAGGCCCGCAACUUUCUGAAUUCAGUUAUUUUUUCCUAUUAAAAAAAAUACUUCAUAUUUUCUUGAGAUAAAAUUUGUGUUGACAGAGUAGUCUAAAAUCUCUAACGCAUUAUCUUCUUCUAUAUUUCCUUCUUCUGAGCCCCCGGCAUGUAAUCAAAAUCAGCCGCCUUCAUCACCACCAUAUCUUGUUUAUCCCGUCGUAUUGAUUCGGGUUAAAAACACAUCACAUAGAUCGAAGCCAUUUGAAGGAAACAAGUAAUGGGAUGAAAUAUUAGAAUACUUGGAUGGCUUAAAAAUUGAAGAUCUAAUCUAUGUGAAAAUAGGUGAAAUUCAUGCAAUUCCUUUUUACAAGUACUAAUCCUCCUUAAAGAAACAGACAAAUAUAUUUGAGUCUCAUUUUCCAAAAGUCAACUUCAACUCAAGGAACCGGUUGAUGAUCAAGGGCUGCAAUGACUAGUAUGAGGAUUGGAAUCAAAUUUUGGUUGAGAAGAGCUAAUACGCUUCAUUGAUUAAAGAAAUCACUUUACAUCUAAAAUGUUUUAAUAUUUGGUUCAACAACAUUUGGAGAUCUAAUAUUCUUUGUACAAGUUGAUUAGUUAUCUUUAGUCAUUGGUUAAUUCUGAUGUUCUUUGUACAAGUUUAUUGUUGAUUUGUAAUCAUUAGUUAAAUUGUAAAAAUAAUUUGUUGAAUAUGAGUAUGAUCAUUUUCUCGUU